rnacentral:rRNA from 1 species
UACAGAGGGGGCAAGCGUUGUUCGGAAUUACUGGGCGUAAAGGGCGCGUAGGCGGCCCGCUAAGUCGAACGUGAAAUCCCCGAGCUCAACUCGGGAACUGCGUCCGAUACUGGCGGGCUUGAAUCCGGGAGAGGGAUGCGGAAUUCCAGGUGUAGCGGUGAAAUGCGUAGAUAUCUGGAGGAACACCGGUGGCGAAGGCGGGUCUCUGGGCCGCAACUGACGCUGAGGAGCGAAAGCAUGGGGAGCGAACAGG